UUCGCCCUUUUCCGGUUGAUCCUGCCGGACCUGAUUGCUAUCGGAUUGAUACUAAGCCAUGCGAGUCAUUGUAGCAAUACAAGGCAGACGGCUCAGUAACGCGUAGUCAACCUAACCUAUGGACGGGAAUAACCUCGGGAAACUGAGAAUAAUGCCCGAUAGAACACUAUACCUGGAAUGGUUUGUGUUCCAAAUGAUUUAUCGCCGUAGGAUGGGACUGCGGCCUAUCAGUUUGUUGGUGAGGUAAUGGCCCACCAAGACUAUUACAGGUACGGGCUCUGAGAGGAGUAGCCCGGAGAUGGGUACUGAGACACGGACCCAGGCCCUAUGGGGCGCAGCAGGCGAGAAAACUUUGCAAUGUGCGAAAGCACGACAAGGUUAAUCCGAGUGAUUUGUGCUAAACGAAUCUUUUGUUAGUCCUAGAACCACUAACGAAUAAGGGGUGGGCAAGUUCUGGUGUCAGCCGCCGCGGUAAAACCAGCACCUCAAGUGGUCAGGAUGAUUAUUGGGCCUAAAGCAUCCGUAGCCGGCUCUGUAAGUUUUCGGUUAAAUCUGUACGCUUAACGUACAGGCUGCCGGGAAUACUGCAGAGCUAGGGAGUGGGAGAGGUAGACGGUACUCGGUAGGAAGGGGUAAAAUCCUUUGAUCUAUUGAUGACCACCUGUGGCGAAGGCGGUCUACCAGAACACGUCCGACGGUGAGGGAUGAAAGCUGGGGGAGCAAACCGGA
rnacentral:rRNA from 1 species